CACGUAGUUAGCCGGGGCUUCUUACUCAGGUGCCGUCAUUUUCUUCCCUGCUGAUAGAGCUUUACAUACCGAAAUACUUCUUCACUCACGCGGCGUUGCUGCAUCAGGGUUUCCCCCAUUGUGCAAUAUUCCCCACUGCUGCCUCCCGUAGGAGUUUGGGCCGUGUCUCAGUCCCAAUGUGGCCGGUCACCCUCUCAGGUCGGCUACUGAUCGUCGCCUUGGUGGGCCGUUACCCCACCAACCAGCUAAUCAGACGCGGGUCCAUCUCAUACCACCGGAGUUUUUCACACGGGAUCAUGCAAUCCUGUGCGCUUAUGCGGUAUUAGCAGUCAUUUCUAACUGUUAUCCCCCUGUAUGAGGCAGGUUACCCACGCGUUACUCACCCGUCCGCCACUCAGUCAAUUAAAAUUCCAUCCGAAAACUUCCUUCUAAUUGCUUCGUUCGACUUGCAUGUGUUAAGCACGCCGCCAGCGUUCAUCCUGAGCCAGGAUCAAACUCU
rnacentral:rRNA from 1 species